CCUACGGGAGGCAGCAGUGGGGAAUAUUGGACAAUGGGCGAAAGCCUGAUCCAGCAAUGCCGCGUGAGUGAUGAAGGCCCUCGGGUCGUAAAGCUCUUUUACCAGGGAUGAUAAUGACAGUACCUGGAGAAUAAGCUCCGGCUAACUCCGUGCCAGCAGCCGCGGUAAU
rnacentral:rRNA from 2 species